rnacentral:rRNA from 1 species
UACGUAGGGGGCAAGCGUUGGCCGGAUUUACUGGGCGUAAAGCGCGCGCCGGCGGCCAGGUCAGUCGAAUGUGAAAGCCCCCGGCUCAACUGGGGAGGGUCAUUCGAUACUGCCUGGCUUGAAGAUAGGAGAGGGAAGCGGAAUUUCAGGUGUAGUGGUGAAAUGCGUAGAUAUCUGAAGGAACACCAGUGGCGAAGGCGGCUUUCUGGCCUAUUCUUGACGCUGAGGCGCGAAAGCUAGGGGAGCGAACGGG